rnacentral:tRNA from 1 species
ACGGACGAGGCCGACCGGCAAGGCACUGGUCUCCAAAACCAGCAGGUUGCAAAACCGUUUUAGGGUUCAAUUCCCUACGUCCGUGCCA